UACGGAGGAUCCGAGCGUUAUCCGGAUUUAUUGGGUUUAAAGGGUGCGUAGGUGGCCUGUUAAGUCAGGGGUGAAAGACGGUAGCUCAACUAUCGCAGUGCCCUUGAUACUGAUGGGCUUGAAUGAACUAGAGGUAGGCGGAAUGUGACAAGUAGCGGUGAAAUGCAUAGAUAUGUCACAGAACACCAGUGGCGAAGGCGGCUCACUGGCCCGGUACUGACGCUGAGGUGCGAAAGCGUGGGGAGCAAACAGG
rnacentral:rRNA from 1 species